rnacentral:rRNA from 1 species
UUGUGGUUAAAAAGCCCGUAGUUGGAUCUCAACAGCCUUGAAGCGGUUAACUUUGUAGUUUUACUGCUUUAUAGGCUGUGCUUUUGCUGGAGGUUUAGGGGUGCUCUUGAUCGAGUGUCUCUGGAUGCCAGCAGGUUUACUUUGAAAAAAUUAGAGUGCUCAAAGCAGGCUAAAAUGCCUGAAUAUUCGUGCAUGGAAUAAUAGAAUAGGAUGUCGAUCCUAUUUUGUUGGUUUUCGGGACUCGACAUAAUGAUAAAUAGGGACAGUCGGGGGCAUUUGUAUUCAAACGACAGAGGUGAAAUUCUUGGACCGUUUGAAGACAAACUACUGCGAAAGCAUUUGCCAAGAAUGUUUUCAUUAAUCAAGAACGAAGUUAGAGGUUCGAAGGC